UACGGAGGGGGCUAGCGUUGUUCGGAAUUACUGGGCGUAAAGCGCACGUAGGCGGACUCUUAAGUCGGUGGUGAAAUCCUGGAGCUCAACUCCAGAACUGCCUCCGAUACUGGGAGCCUUCGAGUCCGGGAGAGGUGAGUGGAACUGCGAGUGUAGAGGUGAAAUUCGUAGAUAUUCGCAAGAACACCAGUGGCGAAGGCGGCUCACUGGCCCGGUACUGACGCUGAGGUGCGAAAGCGUGGGGAGCAAACAGG
rnacentral:rRNA from 1 species